CGUCAUUCAUAUGUUGCUGCAGUAAACGACCUAUUCGGCACUUUACCAUCCUAAAUUAUUAUGCAUGCCUGUAUAUAAAUACGUCUCAUCAUCAUGGAACGUUUGUAUUUGUUGCUCCUUCGGCUGCCGCAUCAUUAUUUCAAGAGUUUGGCGGAAGAUAUGAUGCCUUGGAGUGAGCCACGGCCCGUCCACCUUCCUUCCACGCUUGACCAUCCCAGGACGUUCCAUUUUCCUCCCGCCUCACAAAGCAUACGGAAAGCAGGCAUUUUUAAUGCGUGAGCACUAAAGUCGUCGCUAAGCAAGAAUCGAGGCGUGUUCUGUCUGUAGCCACGGAAGUGGAGAGGGGCGCUGCGAGGGGAGAGGGCCCAUGGAUAUCCCGACGUGGCGGCAGUGGCAGGUGCAGCUGUGGUGGUCGGCAGGUCGACAGUUUCAGAUGUGACUGCGUGGGCUCGCCAUGGACUAUGAAAGCUGUGCGUAGGACCGGCGUCGAAAUUGUGUCGAAACCAGAUGUGUCGACCGGGGCCAAGCUGAAUAGGAGCAAGCCCAAAAGGCUCGUUUGCCCACGUAUGCUGUCUUGCGUUAGCGUUAUGUAGGGUCGUGUGAAGGGGAGUUCCAAAAGCAUUUCCGUCAGACCCACCUAUGGAUCGACUUUUUUUUUUUUGCUUUCUAGACUGGACAUUACGGCCAUCUCGCUAUGUCAAACCAAGAAUAAUCAUAUCGGCAAUCUAUUACAUCAGCAUUUCUUGAAUGUUGGUGGCACCUUUGCCGUCGACGUCAGAUGAAGUCCCUUAUUUUCUUACCCGUUCUUACCCCUUUUCCCCUCAGAUUCAAGGGAAUGCUAUCUGCUUACGUGGCGUCGCUCAUGAUCUCAGCUGUCUCGCGACGUAAACCCCCAGUUAUUAUUAUUCGUAUUUAACUAUCUGCUUACCUGAAUGUUUACCCAUCUAGCUUGCCUUUCACCGUGACCACCGUGACUGUGAUCAUAUCGACACUGGUUCACUGACUCUGGCAACUGUGGUUGUACCCACCGUGAAUCCAAUCGAAGUGCGAUAUCCAAGCCAAGCCAAUCCAUAUUAGCGCAGCUGUUUUGACUGCUGUUAGUCGGUGUCUCGCAAAAAAAGCGUUCUCCCUUUGAUGGCACACGGCACGACACGGCACGGACAACCCUGAAUCAAUGUACCGUUGCAGCAAAGACGGGAUUUGGCUAUGAAUUCAGUGCUCCUCAAGGAAGACAACUGUGAACAUAAUGACGACUGGCAGAAAAUCUCUCUCCACUUCAAACAGGCAAGGAGCAGGAAGACAAGUAAAGCCAGAGCCAAACGCAAAGGAAGAUGCAAUUCCAUAAGAAAUGUACAUCUCGCUAUCUGAA